UCUUUCCCGCCGCCCAAAAAUCUCUGCCGUUGAUUCAAUUCCGGUAAGUUCUUCAAACCCUAAUCUCACCAAUUUUCCUUUACAUUACGGAAUCAAAUUUGAACGGAAUCAAAAACCCCAAAUCAGGUAUGUGAAAUUCAUGUAGUUGAUGAUUCGCUGGCCUUAGGGUUCGUGUCAUCUUAUCUCAGAUCUACUUGCAAAUGGCUCAGAUCUACCUCCAUCUUUACCUCCUUGGCGGCUCUCUCACAGACCAAAGGAAGCCAUGGCCGCCGUGCAUGUGGUAUCCUGCCCUCCCCGGCUUGGCAGUGAAUCGGUAACCUUUCUCCUCUCUCGUUCGUCAAGUGUAGCUUCUUUUAGGUUAACACCUUUUAUCUUCAUCUUCCUCUGAAUUCAGUUUGGUGGCACAUGAAUUAGAAUUAGGUCGAAUAUAUUCUCGCAUAGAUUCACAUGAAAAACCCAGUCCAGACUAUCUGCUGCAACAAUGGCUGUAGGGGAGCCCAGAGCACCAAAGUAAUAAAUUCACAUCUCCAUGUUUGGGCUUUUCCUCAGAAGGCUGCUGGUAUCCUUACUUUCCUGGCCAAGAACCCACCUUGUCUGGGGAUAUCGAUUUGUUGCUUCAGGUUUGUAGAGAAAACAACAACCAUGGGUCUAGAAGAAUGCUAUUCACAUCGAUAUGUAAGUCUAAUAUCACAAGUGUAAUGUAAUUGGUGGAGAGGUGGACCAAGUGUUUGUUGUUCCUGUUUUCAUGUUUUUCAGCGUGAUUAAUAUGAAUUUUUGGGUUUUUAAGCUGCUGGUAAAUAUCCUUACUUUCCUGGCCAAGAACCCACUUUGCUUGGGGAUAUCGAUUUGUUGCUUCAGACAAAAGCACAUUUCAUCAUUUUGAUAAGUUCAAUCUGAAGUACAACCACUGUGGUCAAAGUAGGCUCAGGGAGAUUUUCCUUAAGCAGGAUAAUCUUAUCCAAGGCUGUUUCCUUGCUGAGCUGACAAAGCAAGUGUUUUCUGAUCUUUCUGCCAGUAAAUAUCAGAUGGCUGAGCACAGAAUAUCAAAAUAUGGCAGGAAGCAAAGUGAGUGGGACCAAAUGGCUAGUUGGAUAGUGAACAAUGAAUUGUACAGUGAGAAUGUUGUAUGGUUGAUAUAGCUGCCACGGCUGUACAAUAUAUACCAGGAAAUGGGGAUAGUCACAUCAUUUCAGAACAUUCUUGACAAAAUCUUUAAACCGCUGUUUGAGGUUACCAUAAAUCCAGAUUCCCACCUGCAGUUGCAGGUUUUUCUGAAACAGGUGAUGAAGAUGGAGGUUGACUACAAAGUGGUAUUAAUCGGAUUUUCUGCAGACAUUGGAUACUUAUUAGGAGAUCAACACGAGCAUUGCAGGUCUGUCGAACAAGGAAAUGCAGAACCUUCAAAGGUAGCCGAACACGGGCAGCUUUUGUCUUUAUUAUUGGAUUUUGCUUGCUGGAUCUUGCCAAGUUAGAAGGAAGGGCUGAAAUUCAAGAAAUUCACUUGCUUCUUCGAUUCCUGCUGAAGGAAGGACUGCACCUACAUAUAUAUGUUAAUUAUGCUGAGAUAACCCAAUUCCUCCCAGAGGUCAGCCAGAUAGUAUUGUGCAGGACAUUUAAAAUAUGGUUCGCUCCUACAUUGAGAAGGUUCCAGAUGCAACUAGUAAUCAUGAAAUUCGGAGGGAAUCUGUAGGAGAAGAAGGGAAUCCAGAUUCAAGCUGUGAUAGAGCAAUGGACUGAGUUUCAAUAUGUUCAUAUUCUGAUAGUGCAACAUUGGAAUUUUUGUUAAGUGUUACUCUUGUUUGUUUUCAUUAGGUGCUGGG